AUGCUCGCUUUAACAGGGUGUAUUCUAAAGUUGGGACAAUACAGAGAGGAUUAGCAUGGCCCCUGAGCAAGGAUGAUAUGCAAACUUGUGAAGUGUUCCAUGUUUUA
rnacentral:snRNA from 1 species